ACCUGCGGAAGGAUCAUUAAUGAAAUUGAAGUCUUCGGACUCAUCUUCAUUAUCCACACACACCUGUCGCACCUUUGAUUCGAGUACUGGUUAUUAGAGCUUCGGCUCGAGUGCUAGUGCUUGUCUCAAUAUCAAUCUUCAAAACAAUGUUUUCUAGAAUGUAUACUGUCUCGUUGUAAUGACGAGUACAACCCCUAUAAAACUUUCAACAACGGAUCUCUUGGCUCAGGCAUCGAUGAAGAACGCAGCGAAAUGCGAUAAGUAAUGUGAAUUGCAGAAUCCAGUGAAUCAUCGAAUCUUUGAACGCACCUUGCGCCCCUUGGUAUUCCGAGGGGCACACCUGUUGGAGUGUCAUGAAUACCUCAACCCUUAUAGGUUUUAUCACUUGUAAGGUGUUGGUUGUGAGCGUUUGCCGGUCGCAAGAUCGGCUCGCUUUAAAAUCAUUAGCUGGAUCCACUUUGACCUGGUUCUACUCGGCGUAAUAAGUUAUUAUCGUUGAGGACACUUUUCUUAGGAAUGGUGGCCACAGUAAAGGUUGCGAACCGCUUCUAAUACGUCUGCUUAGUCUUCGGGCUAUGCAACACUUUUAUCUCUGACCUCCAAUCAGGUGGGACUACCCGCUGAACUUAAGCAUAUCAAUAAGCGGAGGAA
rnacentral:rRNA from 1 species